rnacentral:rRNA from 1 species
AUUGAACGCUGGCGGCAGGCCUAACACAUGCAAGUCGAACGAGUGGCGGACGGGUGGGUAAGGGCUGGGAACCUGCCUGAUGGAGGCGGAUAACUGCGGGAACAGGUAGCUAAUACCGCAUACCAUGCGUUCUGCCGAGAUGGGAUUAGCUGGUUGGUGGGGUAACGGCUCACCACGGCGACGAUCCCUAGCUGGUCUGAGAGGAGGACCAGCCACACUGGGACUGAGACACGGUCCAGACUCCUACGGGAGGCAGCAGUGGGGAAUAUUGCACAAUGGACGAAAGCCUGAUGCAGCCAUGCCGCGUGUAUGAAGAAGGCUUUCGGAUUGUAAAGCACUGUCAGUGGGGAGGCGUUACCCGCAGAAGAAGCAACGGCUAACUCCGUGCCAGCAGCCGCGGUAAUAC